rnacentral:rRNA from 1 species
AGAGUUUGAUCCUGGCUCAGGAUGAACGCUGGCGGCGUGCCUAACACAUGCAAGUCGAGCGGUAUAUACUUUAGCAAAUCUUCGGAAGAGCGACGGUAUAGAGAGCGGCGGACGGGUGAGUAACGCGUAGGCAACCUGCCCCAUACAGAGGGAUAGCCUCGGGAAACCGGGAUUAAAACCUCAUAACGCGAGAUGUUCACAUGGACAUUUCGCCAAAGAUUUAUCGGUAUGGGAUGGGCCUGCGUCUGAUUAGCUAGUUGGUGGGGUAACGGCCUACCAAGGCGACGAUCAGUAGCCGACCUGAGAGGGUAAUCGGCCACAUUGGAACUGAGACACGGUCCAAACACCUACGGGUGGCAGC